ACUGCUAUGUUUACAUCUGAAGGGUUAAAACCUGGGGGACCUGGCACCCAGACCACUUCACAGAGCCUCCUGAUCUCUGUAUGUAUGUUGUAUGAUUUUGUACAAUGUGACAAUGUUUGGAGCUGGUCUGGAAUCUGGUGUUGCUGAGAUUAACCCCUUAAGGACACAACUUCUGGAAUAAAAGGGAAUCAUGUCGGAAUAUUUCCGUCAUGUGUCCUUAAGGGGCUAAUGGGAGCUGAAAGGUAAAUCAUCGUAACUGCAACAAAUAAUUUAAUGUUCUCAUUCUAAACGUAACCGCUACUUCGAUCACGGUCAACUGGGGGCAAGUGUUCUGCCCCCUGAACUAAUUCCUUAUUUAAUGUUCAAAGGGACACUAUAGGCAUCAAGACAACUUCAGCUUAUCGAAGUGGACUGGGUGCAGUUCCCCUGCCAGUUUAAACUGGCAAGUGUUAUUAUUGCAGUUACUGAGAAACUGCAAUAAUUACCUUGCUGGGUUAACUCCACCUUUAGUGGCUGUGUACCAGACAGCCACUAGAGGUGCUUCCAUGUGGUUAGACGACUUUUGAUUGCCUAAUUGACGCUGGACGUUCUCACGCUAUGCAUCAGCUAGAACCCCACAGGAAAGCUUUGAUGCAAUGCUUUCCUUUGAAGUAUUCCUAAUUAGCAUGCACAUUCGCCCCCUCACCCCUCCACUGGGCCGUGAGGGAGGGGGACACUAUAGGGAGCUAUAGUGCUAGGAAUACAACUAUGUAUUCCUAGCACUAUAGUUUCCCUUUAAGAGUGAAAGUGUCUGUAUAAUAGCUUUGUUCCUUAAUGGAAAAUCUUCUGCAGAUAUCACAGCUUUGAACACUCUGAGAACCAUAACAACCUCAUCUCAGUGAAAUUAUCAUGAUGCCUGGAGGUCCUGGGUACUGAAUUACCUUAAGGGGUUAAACUAUUUAGGAGUGGCCCAGACGCCACCCUCUUGCAGGUACCGGUGUCUCCUCCCCUGUGUCCAACUUCAGUGCGGCAGCUGGCAGAGAGGAACGGCUAACCUGAGAUCUGAAAGACUGGCACUGUUUGGACCACAAGGGAAUUAAACAAUUCGUAAACCAUUUAACCCAUUUAGGGGAAAUAGCACCCAGGACGUCCAGACACCAUAACAACCUAUUCCAUAAAAUAAUAAAAUAAAUUACUAUAACCAUUAGCUCUCCCAUUUAUCUUGGAGACAUAGAAACAGCCCUUUCCGGUUCACAGUUCGACUCAAGAAACAAAAACAAUACAAUGUCAUUAUGUAUAUAUGUUAUGCAAUCAAACGAACUGAAAGAAAAUCUGAAGGAGAACAGUCACCUCUGAAAGUCCCUCUUUUGGACCUGAUCUUUGUUCAGUGUGGACAUUACGGUUCAUAAAACAUCACACAAGAAGUGGCUGGGAUCAUUUGGCUAAUCCUGGUCCUCACAUAGUGUUCCCUGUGAGAUUUACUAAAGGAACACUAUAGUCACCUAAAUUACUUUAGCUAAAUAAAGCAGUUUUAGUGUAUAGAUCAUUCCCCUGCAAUUUCACGGCUCAAUUCACUGUCAUUUAGGAGUUAAAUCACUUUGUUUCUGUUUAUGCAGCCCUGGCCACACCUCCCCUGGCUAUGAUUGACAGAGCCUGCAUGAAACAAAAACCUGGUUUCACUUUCAAACAGAUGUAAUUUACCUUAAAUAAUUGUAUCUCAAUCUCUAAAUAGAACUAUAAUCACAUACAGGAGGCUCUUGCAGGGUCUAGCAAGCUAUUAACAUAGCAGGGGAUAAGAAAAUCUUAAUUAAACAGAACUUGCAAUAAAGAAAGCCUAAAUGGGGCUCUCUUUACAGGAAGUGUUUAUGGAAGGCUGUGCAAGUCACAUGCAGGGAGGUGUGACUAGGGUUCAUAAACAAAGGGAUUUAACUCCUAAAUGGCAGAGGAUUGAGCAGUGAGGCUGCAGGGGCAUGUUCUUUACACCAAAACUGCUUCAUUAAGCUAAAGUUGUUCAGGUGACUAUAGUGUCCCUUAAGUGUGGUUAUUUAGGUUUAGGCAUUCCCCAUUCACUUUAAAAAUUGCAAUAGAUCCCCAUAAUCGAGAAAAUGAUAUGCAGUGCAUUAUGGAAACUGUUAGCCAUGUUUACAUUAGCCUCAAAAUCCAUGUAUUCCUGACCCUAUAGUGUUAAAACCACCAGCUAGCCCCUCUUGCCCCCAUAAAUAUAGUAAAAUCUUAGUUGUAGUAAUGUCUCCAGUUGAUGGCUCUCCCCCUGGCUGCCCCUGCCCCUACUGCUGUCUGCUGACAUAAUCAGAAGUAGUGGUCUGAGCCAAUCACAAUGCUUUCCCAUAGGAUUGCCUGAGAGUGUCAAGGAGGCAGAUUAGCGGCAGAGCCAGGACAAGUCACACGUCGCCCUGGCCAAGCAAAGCUAUUUCAUAGAGAUGAAUUGAAUCAAUGCAUCCCUAUGAGGAAAGUUCAGUGUCUGCAUGCAGAGGGAAGAGAUACUGAAUGUCAGUCAGUCUGUGCAGCACCGCCCCAGGAAGCACCUCUAAUGACCAUCUGAGGAGUGGCCAGUGAAGGUAUCACUAGGCUGUAAUGUAAACCCUGCAUUUUCUCUGAAAAGACAGCGUUUACAGCAAAAAGCCUGACAGUAAUGAUUCUACUCACCAGAACAAAUUCAAUAAGCUGUAGUUGUUCUGGUGACUAUAGUGUCCCUUUUAAAAUAUACAAAAAAUCUCUUGCAAACCCCCAAAAAACAAUAUUGAGUCCAAAAACAACAUAGCCUCAUUUUGAUCUCAUUCUUUGACAUAAUUAUUUUGUCUUAAGAUCUUAACAGUACUUUCUUUCAGAGCAAUAGAAGUGUAAGUUAGUAUCCCUGGGCACUGCUCAAUGGAAAGUUAGAAGACCUAUAUUAUGAGGUAAGCCCUGCAGUGUAAAACAGUUUGACUCCUUUCAAGGGGGUGUGGGGCAGGACACUCCUGGCACCAUAACCACUACAGCAUACUGUAGUGAUUAUGGUACAUGAAGUGUUACUUUACAACUUUUCCAAUUUGGCUAUUGUGCCCUAAAAUUUAAAAUUCAAUUUGAAUACACUUAAAGAAUAUGAACCCCAGCACACCAGUCUAUAAACUACCCACAGGCAUAGGCAAUCUUCGGCACUCCAGAUGUUUUGGACUACACCUCCCAUGAUGCUUUGCCAGCAUUAUGACUGUAAGAGCAUUAUGGGGAUGUAGUCCACAACAUCUGGAAUGCCGAUGGUUGCCUAUCCCUCAACUACCAUAAGGAUUAAUACUUUCACCCGAAAAGUACAAUGCCAUUAAAAUCUAAUCUUGUAAAAUAAUCUCAUUUUAAAAUGUACUAAUAAUUGUACAAGUACAAUAAUCCUGUAAUAUUAAACAAUGUCAUUAUUUCUCAUCUUCUGCUCCUGGC